CAAAAUUGCUGAGGAAUCAAAGUUCAAAAGGGCCCCAGGUUCUGACCGGCCACUGCGGCUCAUGCCUGAAAUCCCAGCACUUUGGGAGGUCUAGGUGGGAGGAUCACUUGAGCCCAGGAGUUUGGACCAGCCUGGGGAACAUAUAGAGAACUUGUUUCUAUUGUACAGCAACAAAAAUGCCCCAGGUGGGCUGGGCGCGGUGGCUCAUGCCUGUAAUCCCAGCACUUUGGGAGGCCGAGGUGGGCAGAUCACAAGGUGAGGAGUUUGAGACCAGCCUGACCAACAUGGUGAAACCCCGCCUCUACUAAAAAUACAAAAAUUAGCCGUGCAUGAUGGUGGGCGCCUGUAAUCCGAGCUACUUAGGAAGCUGAGGCAGGAGAAUCGCUUGAACCCAGGAGGCAGAGGUUGCAGUGAGCCUAGAUCACACCACUGUACUUCAGCCUGGGUGGCAGGGUGGCAGAGCCAGACUCCGUCUCAAAAAAAAAAAAAAAAAAAAGUUGCCUUUGGAGUCUGAAACCAAUCUGUAGGUUACAGGCAUCCCAGCAUCUUGAUUCAGGCCACCACUGAUGUAACAUCAUCAGUUUUAUGAGAAAUCAUGGUGACAUCUGGCUGCCAAAAUCCUGGUGGCUCACUGCAAUCCAGAAUUAUUUAAAUAGGCAGAGAAAUACUUUCAUGUCUAUGAGUGUUACAAGCAGCAUUUUUUUUUCUGUGUAGAGAACUAUAAAAUAUAACCACUAUUACUGA
rnacentral:lncRNA from 1 species